GAACAAUUCGGAUAGCGAACAAAGUCUUGGAAUGGAUUAUGUUCGUUAACCGAUCACCCACUGUAAUUUGUGAACAGGUGCACAAAACUUUGCCAAUUGGUUGUGGCUGUUGAGAUCAAGGUUACCUGCCUCAUUGCUUGCAAUCUCGUGAAUGUAACUGCAAGAGCAUCAUCUCUGUAUCUGAUUGAUAAUUGGCCAAUUGUAUAGCCACUGUGUGCAAUGAUUUACAUUUGCAUUGGCUACUGGUAACUGUAUUGGGACUGAUGCAGCAUUACAUCUUAAUGGCAGAUGACUGAGUCCAAUCAAAUUGAAGUUUCUCAAUGAGCAUUUUUAUUGGUUCUACGGAAUAAAUUGACCCAAUAUGUGAUGAUCAGAGAUAUCGUGCAAUUUUAUGAGAAAGAUGAAUGGAAAUCAUGAGUGACAUCAUAAUGCAUAUCUCAGCAGCAUUAGACAACAUACUGCUCAGCAAAACAAUCACUCUUGUAUGUUGCACAAGUGCAAGCACACUGCAUGCAAUUAUUUGUAAAUCCUGGUUAUAUGUAGAAGAACAGAAUUGAAGGCUUUUUUGAUGUUUUUCAUUGUAUUUUGUUGUAUUCUUUUAGGUGGAGAACAAGAACAGACAAGUUCUUUGGCAGCACAUGCUUAGAUACAUUGCUCCAGGAACAACUAUAGUUUCCAACAGUGUAUCCCAAUAUCAAGGCUAUAUGGCUUUAAAACUUUCUUUCAAGAAACCCAAACCACAGUCAAUGAGCCAAGGGAGAUUUGUUGACAUUGAUGAUCCUGAAGCCCAUUCUCAAAAAUCCAGAAUCAAAUUUAAUGGCUAAAAGUCCAUGAUGAUGAUAUGAAUGGGCAGGAGUCUGCAAGUUAACAGAAGGUGCUUCAGACAGGAAUCACAUUCUAUGUCUACAGAAUGUGAUUCCUGUCUGAAGCAAUAACACCAUCAGUAUAAUUCCAGCAUUUUCUCGAGAACAUCACAGCUAUCUAAUUAGGCUCCAGUCAAAAGUGCCUCCAAUUCUUCAAGACUGGAAUGCUUACUGACUAUCUGUCAAUCAACAAGUUAUCCUAUUUCAAUGUUAUCAUGCAUGAGGAUGAUGAUGAGGAACAGCAGGGAGAGAUGACCACGUACAAUAUCAAGCACCUUUGUCAUCGAUCCCCAGAACCUAGUAGAAAGUUGGGCCCAAUGACUUCACCCUAUUCUUUACUGAACAUCCAGAAGAGGCCAAUUGUUGCUGGGUAGCCAGAAGACAUUGUGAAAGACAUGGAUGAAGAAAGACAUUGUCAAAAACAAUCACUACAAACUCUUAUGAGCCAUUCCUGGAAAACUAUAACUGUGUUCAACUGAGCAUUAUCUUGAUGGACAAUGGUUAUUUCAGACCAGCAAGCAGGCUGCAUGCCACUCAAAAAUAAAGACAGAAUUGAAGUUGGAUUGAAGAAUUGAAGUUUAAGAUCAUUGUUUGGCACUUCAGCUCAACAGUGGUCCAUCACACACAUACACAAUGAUCAUCCAUUCCCAAACAGAAUUGGAAUUUGUUGUUAAAGACUAGUGUUGCGCUGAUAACUGAUUGAUAAAUUGAUUUUGACACUGCAACAACACUCUAGUGCGAAUUUUCUGACAGCUGGGGAAAUUAUGAUGAUUAUUAUAUCAAGUGACCAAAAAAGUUUGUCCACAUAUUUUCCAUUAGAAUGAUACCUGAAACUUUGUGCAGUUUUCUGUUGUGUGUCAUAGUGAUCAGAUAAUAUCAGGAAGAAGAAACAGGCAGUUCAUGAAACAGUGAAGAGUGAGGAAAAAGAUGGUUAACCUGACUGCAGUUAUUCAAGAGUGCUUACUCUAUGAGUUUAAACUGGGCACUAUUGUGAUUCAAGCAUCCCACAAGAUAAGUGUAGUAUUUGGAAAGAAUACAGUGAGCCCAAAAGUGCUCAGAAAAUUUUCAUUGGAUGAUGAGGACUCUUGAAGAUGCACCUCGCAAGAGAAGACAGCAUCAUUGAUGAGGAUAAACUGAAAGUGGCCAUUGAGUUAAUGCAAGACAAACAUGAUUUAACUUUUUUGCAAACUCCUAUGUGAAUGUUAAACCAUUUGAUUGCAUUUUCAUAGCCUAGGAAAAUUCUGGAAGCUGAGCAAAUGGAUUUCAUGUGAACUGAGUGCCAAUAACAAGCUUCAGAGGCUUAUGAUCUGCUUGUUGCUGCCUUUAAAAUCCAAUAAUGAGCCAUUUUUAGACUGGUUGUUGAUGUAUGAUAAAAAUGAGUUAAAUAUGACAACACCAAAUGUUUCUAUCAUUGGUUAUUGUCCAGUGAAUCUCUACUGCAUAUGCCAAAGCCAAAUGUCCAUUGAUAGAAAACUUUUUGUUGUGUGUCUCGUAACCAACAGCUGGAAUUGCUCAUUAUGAGUUUCUUUCCCUUGGCCAAACAAUCACUGCAAAUAUCUACUCAGAACAAUUGCAAUGGUCCAAGAUGCACUGCUCCAGAAACAACCUACACUCAUUAAUUGCAAAGGUAUUGUGUUCCUUCAAGACAAUGUGUGACUCCACAGCCUUAGUUGGAAAAUUCUAUCCCAUCCUCCAUUACCAUCAGACAACACCUUUUUUCGCACUGGAAAAUCAUAUGCACAACUGAUAGUUUUGAAACUGAGCAGCACUGGCAACAGGAUUGAAGGAUUUCUUCACUUCUAAAAAUUGGGACUUUUCCCAAUUUUUAGGAGUGGUAUUUACAAACUUGUGUCUCGUUGAAAUUAGGCUGUACAUUGUGAUGGUGCUAACUUUACUGAAUAAAAUAUCUUCAUUCACUUUUUACCUCAAAACCACACAAACUUUUUUGGUCACCUGAUAAUUAUUAACAAAUACCAAUAUAAAAAUUGCCAAUAAAAGUCAGUAUUCAUCUAGAUUAUUGAUAACAAUAAAUUUUAGUUUAAGUUUGAUAUAUUAGUUAUUGACACAGCACUAUUGAUAAUUUUCUGUAUUCAAUAUUUUUCGGUAUUUAUUGAAAUUUACCAAUUAUCAAUAUAAUAAAGAAAUCUCUGUAUCAAACCCAAUAUUGAUAUAGCACUGACCUACUAAAGUCCCAUGCUGCUACUUUGUCACGGCACCUCUGCAAAUGAAACCCACAAUAUUGAGAUGCUAACAGCAGUAACAGUGCAUGCAAUUUUGCCUCUGAUAGUUGCCUGCCAAUGGUACAGGAAGAAUCAAAUAACAAGUAUACUAAGAAUUAUGAACACAGUCUCUGUGAGCCUUUUUAUAGAAUAAUGGGAAAGAAAUUUUAAGGCCAUCUGGCUGCUUACCCAGCAUGCAAUCAGAUCUUGACUGUAAUUAUUUACAUACCUGUCUAAGACAUAUCUGGAUGUUGAGUUUUGUAAUAAUUGGUCAAUUCUAUCUGGGUAUAUAGCUUUUUUUGUCAAUGAGUAUAUUUAUUUAGAUUCUAUAAAUUACUGAUAAGAAUUGAAUUACAAUAAAAGUAAUAAAGUUUUGAAAAGUUUAUUUCAUUACCUG
rnacentral:lncRNA from 1 species